UCGAGGGGCAGCAUUUUAGUUUGCUUGCAAACUGAAGAUGGCGACCGGCGCACGGGUGAGUAACACGUAUCCAACCUGCCGAUAACUCCGGAAUAGCCUUUCGAAAGAAAGAUUAAUACCGGAUAGUAUACGAAUAUCGCAUGAUAUUUUUAUUAAAGAAUUUCGGUUAUCGAUGGGGAUGCGUUCCAUUAGUUUGUUGGCGGGGUAACGGCCCACCAAGACUACGAUGGAUAGGGGUUCUGAGAGGAAGGUCCCCCACAUUGGAACUGAGACACGGUCCAAACUCCUACGGGAGGCAGCAGUGAGGAAUAUUGGUCAAUGGGCGAGAGCCUGAACCAGCCAAGUAGCGUGAAGGAUGAAGGCUCUAUGGGUCGUAAACUUCUUUUAUAUGGGAAUAAAGUUUUCCACGUGUGGAAUUUUGUAUGUACCAUAUGAAUAAGGAUCGGCUAACUCCGUGCCAGCAGCCGCGGUAAUACGGAGGAUCCGAGCGUUAUCCGGAUUUAUUGGGUUUAAAGGGAGCGUAGGUGGAUUGUUAAGUCAGUUGUGAAAGUUUGCGGCUCAACCGUAAAAUUGCAGUUGAAACUGGGAGUCUUGAGUACAGUAGAGGUGGGCGGAAUUCGUGGUGUAGCGGUG
rnacentral:rRNA from 1 species